rnacentral:pre_miRNA from 1 species
UACUGCAUCAGGAACUGAUUGGAUAAUUAUCAGGCACCAUCAGUUCCUAAUGCAUUGCC